CCCAGGCCGGCCUCGAACUUGGGAUCCUCCUGACUCAGCCUCCCGAGUCGCUGGGAUUACAGGUGUGUACCACUGUGCCUGCUCUCCUGGUUUUCCUACGCAUGCCUGUGAUGACAUGAGUUUUCCUUCCAGGGCUGGUGAGCCGCAGAGACUGGUCUUCUCGUGUAAAAAGCCUGGGUUCUCACGGGCAGCAGGAUGGUCUAAGAGGACUGCCUGGACGUGCCAUGUUCAUACAUGUGACUUGGAAUCCCAGAUGAGAGCUUUCCAAGCUAAUGUGGUUAAGGUGCUGCUGGGGGCGACACUUCCUGCUAUUCCGUGUUCUCCCACGAAGACAGAUCACACCCUCCCUUGCAGCCUGGUCAGGGAUGGAGGUACUGAAACAGGAAGGACGCCAAUGAUAGCUGCCGCCCACACCCCUGCUCUGGCACCAGCUGCUGGGUAGACACAGGGCCACUUCCUCAAAAAGGAGUGCCACCCCGAGGGGAUCGGGGGCUGCAGGAGAUCCUGAUUUCGCCUCCUCACUCUCCUUUCCUGCCCCACCAUGUCACCCCAAAUAGAUGUCUGGCAGGAAGUAAGGGGCAAUAAGGCAGGCGGCCCUGCCCACCGGGCAGCUGGAAGGAAGUGAUCGGAGACGGCUCAGAACAGCCUCCGGGGGCUGGGGAUUGCUUCAAGGAGGCUAAAGAGGAAGGGGCAUGGAGAUGGCAGCCUGCUCUCCCUUCUCUCCCAACUGCCUGGUGACAGAGGAAGCUAGAUUUGCUUUACAACUGAUAUAAGACCAGAUUCUUUUCAAAAGGUAAUGUGUGUCAAAGGGCAGAUGAACGAAAAAUGCUUCUGCUGAACGGGGAGAGGAACAAUGAGAGCCUUUGUUUUAAAAAAAAAUCACCAAAAGAAAAAAAAAAACUACCAGACGACCUAUGACAAAGGUGUGUGGGACUUUAUCUGCCCUCCCACCCAUUAGGGCUAUCAGAGGACCAAACUACCUCAGUUUCCUUUAAAGAUCUUAAUUGGCUUUAUUUUUUAUUCUAUAAUUGGGCAAUGCUUCAUUUCAUAAAACAGAAUGCAUGUUUCUCAGAGCAGAGAAGAAGAGGUUGCUUUUAUAGAGAGAUAAGGGUUGAAAAAACAGAAACCAAAAAAGAAAAUAUAUGUGGAUUUGGUCACUGCAAAGUUAUUUUUUCUUGCAAGACAGAGACAGGAAGAUAAAACAAUAGAAAAAUAACAUCAGGUUAUUUCUGUUACUUUUGGGGUGGGGGACACCAGGGAUUGAACUCAGGGGAACUUGACCACUGAGCCACAUCCCCAGCCCUAUUUUGUAUUUUAUUUAGGGACAGGGUCUCACUGAGUUGCUUAGCAUUUUGCUUUUACUGGGACUGGCUGCCGCAGCCCGGCUGCAGCAAAAUAACCGGGGGGUGACGAGCAACUUGUACAACUUGUACAUUGAUACAGCAGGAGUGGGAGCCGUUUAUUGUAGGACAACAGAGGUAUUUAUACAUUUUACACAGCUUAUCUUAAUUAGCAUAAACUAGAUACAUCAGUCAACCAAUAAGGAAUCUCCACACUUAAUGGCUCACUGGCGUUACUUCACAAACCACUCCCUCUGGCAAAAUGCCAGGCGCCAUCCAGACUUGUUUACAGACUCUAACAUUUGCCAGGCGCCAUCCUGACUUGUUUACAGACUCUAACAACUGGCCUUGAACCAGAGAUCCUCCUGCCUCAGCCUCCCAAUCCUCUGGGAUUACAGACAUGCACCAUCAUGCCCGGCUCUGGUACUUUUUGUUUUUUUAAGACAAAGACAGAGGGAAUUUCAUUAUCUUCCCAAUUGAAACUGACCUGGCAAAUUUGGUCUCCAAUCGUGAUUUCUUGGGUGGUUAGAUAAUCAGCUUAGUUUCACGUUGGUGAUAUGAAACGUUAGCAUGGGGGACUCCAUUUGAUUUUUAACCUGGUGCUAUAGUUUAGACGUUGAACAUUCUCUAAAGGUUCAGGUCUUAAAGGCUUGGUCUGCAGGGUGGCGCUAUUGGGAGAUGCUGAAACCUUGGAGAGGUGGGGCCAGGUGGGAGGUUCUCAGGUCAUUGGGGGAGUGACCUUCAGGAGGAUUCUGGGGCCACAGGCCCUUCCUCUUUUUUCUUUGCUUCCUGGCCAUGAGUUGGGUAAAUUUGCCCCAUCACCCAUUCCUGCCAUGAGUUGCUGCCUUGUCACAGGCCCAAAGUAAAGGAGCCAAUAUAAUCAUGAGUUGGAACCUUCAAAGUCAUGAGCCAGAAUAAACUUUUUCUCUUUAUAAGUUGGUUAUCUCAGGUGUUUGUUACAGUAAUGGAAUGCUGACUAACACACCUGGUUGGUUGGAGCCUGCUGCAAGAGUUUAGUACAAAAUAACAGCUUCCUGCAAUUUUUGGUUAAUGAUAUAUAAAGAGAUCAGUUCCCUGGCUCCAACCAGAAACCUUCUGGGCAAACCUAAAUUUUCUAAGACACUGGCUCUCAAACCUGCUGCACAUUACCAUCGCCUGAGUGUUAAAUAGGAUGCAGAUGCCUGGUCCCAGCUCAGAGAUUUUGAUCUAAUUGGGUUGGGUGGGCCAGGGCAUGGGCUUGUCUCAAAACUUCCCAGGUGAUUCUGAGGUACAGGGAAGUUCAAGAACCAUUGUUAAAAACAUAAGCUUCUCUUCACCUUUCUCUUACCACCUGCCACGCUCCUCAGAGCUUACCCUGCUCUAAUGAGCUUGUUAUUGAUUACCUACCACACAGUCCCUGGGGCCCCCUGGUGCAUCCACAGAUGUAGCCCAUAGCACCACAAUUCACUUCUCUGGACUUGAGCCCUGAUCCUGAGUAGAUCAAUAGAUCUGUCCCAGGGAAAGUGAUUCUUAGAGAGGCACAGAAUGAUUUCCUGAAAUGACCCUUCUCUUGGAAAUACAGACCCCAGCCAGCCCUUAUUACUCUGAAAGGGAGAACCAAAAGCCAUGCUCACUUGGUGGGUGAAAUUGUCUUCUCUCCUUUGACCUUCUCUGCCUGGCUGUGAUAUCGUAAGCUGAUAAAACACCAUCACAUUCCCUGCAAAAUAAAGGAAGGGGACUUCACCCAGAACGGUCUCCAAGUGAGGGAGGACGCGAUGGAGUUUGUUUUUAGGAAAAUGCGUGGACGAUGGAGGCUUCUUAAAAGACUGGAGCCGCGGAGACCAGUUUGGAAGCCACUAGCACAGUGAAGGUGGGAGCCAGGCAGCCGAUCUAGGACCACGGUGGAGACCAACACCAAGGACUUGUAGGUUGCAGAAUCCAUGUGACGGCUGAUAGAUUUCAGGGAGGGAGCGUUGGGCGGUGGGAGAAUUCAGGGAGAUUUUAAUUCCUGUAGCUGGUGAGUGACAAUGUGAUGAUCCAGGAAAGGUUCAGAACCAACAAGGAAAAGAUCCACCAGCCACGAGAGAGAGAGUUGCCUUAGAAACCGAUGGUUUGGAGCUUCUUUUUAAUGUCCCUGUCACGGACAUGGAAUUUCAUGUACAGCACUGACAUUGUCAUCAAACUCUAAGGGUAGUCUGUCCAGGGAAACGAGGAGGAGAGUGAAAUGACUGUAUUUCAUGGUCUGUGCUUUGACACCCCACGCGGGGCUCAUGACCUUAGCUAAAACAAAGGGGCUGGGUGACUGCAGAGGGGAUAAAUGUGAAGUUGGCCCUGACCUUCACUCGUAAUUCCAUAAAAAUCUCUAUAGUAAUGGUUCUAUUAAAUAAAUAGCUUUGCAACGGCUGUAUAAUUACAGCUGUCAUAAUCAUUAAUGUAAUUUACCAAAUGGUAGAAACCACUGCAGCUUGCUUAUUUCUUUAAAAGGCGUAGGAAAUUGGUAGGAAAUGCCAAAAUCCUGUAAUUUUUUUUUUUAAAUUGCAACCCAAGAGAACAAUGUAAGUAUUCUCAGACAUUUGAAUGAAGCCAAUAAAGUAGGGAAAGAAUUUCUCUCUUUUAAAAAAAAAAUAACUUCUCUGAUGAUUGUAACCUUUCUUCUCCAUAUACAUAGCCAUUGUAACAAUUGUAAAAAAAAAUUGUGCAAAAAGUAAAGAGAAAUAAAUAAAACCAGGCACAAUCUGAAUAGAUACAUAUAUAACUAUUACAAACAUUUUGAUGUAUUUCCCAUUUUUUUCCAUAAAUAAAUAUACUUUUUUACAUAUCUGGGGUCACAAUGUAGAUAACAUCUUAUAAUCUAAAUUUUUUCACUUACUAUUAACUAUGAUUAAG
rnacentral:lncRNA from 1 species